AAUGAACGUUGGCGGCAUGGAUUAGGCAUGCAAGUCGGGGGAAUCCCAGCAAUGGGGGAACCGGCGUAAGGGGCAGUGAGGCAUGGGUACCUACCUUGGGGUUCGGGAUAGCCACCAGAGAUGGUGGGUAAUACCGGAUGACGUCGUGAGACCAAAGAUUUAUCGCCCUUAGAGGGGCCCAUGUGAUAUUAGCUAGUUGGUGGGGUAACGGCCCACCAAGGCGAAGAUGUCUAGCGGGUGUGAGAGCACGACCCGCGCCACUCGCACUGAGACACUGGCGAGACACCUACGGGUGGCUGCAGUCGAGGAUCUUCGGCAAUGAGCGCAAGCUUGACCGAGCGAUGCCGCGUGAGCGAUGAAGGCCUUCGGGUUGUAAAGCUCUUUAGUGGGGGAGAAAAGCCGCAAGGUGUGAUCUAUCCCAAAAAUAAGCACGGGCUAAGUUCGUGCCAGCCGCCGCCGUAA
rnacentral:rRNA from 1 species